GCCACAUCAGGAUAAAACACUGGUUCCCUUACGAACAUCGAAGUUAAGCAAUGUCGACCAUGAUCAGAACCGAUAUGUGUGACCUCUUGGGAAUACCAGGUGCUGUAAG